CCUUCGGGCCUCACACCAUCGGAUGUGCCCANAUGGGAUUANCUANUNAGUGAGGUAAUGGCUCACCUAGGCGACGAUCCCUAGCUGGUCUGAGAGGAUGACCAGCCACACUGGAACUGAGACACGGUCCAGACUCCUACGGGAGGCAGCAGUGGGGAAUAUUGCACAAUGGGCGCAAGCCUGAUGCAGCCAUGCCGCGUGUGUGAAGAAGGCCUUCGGGUUGUAAAGCACUUUCAGCGAGGAGGAAGGGUUCAGUGUUAAUAGCACNGUUCAUUGACGUUACUCGCAGAAGAAGCACCGGCUAACUCCGUGCCAGCAGCCGCGGUAAUACGGAGGGUGCAAGCGUUAAUCGGAAUUACUGGGCGUAAAGCGCACGCAGGCGGUUUGUUAAGUCAGAUGUGAAAUCCCCGAGCUUAACUUGGGAACUGCAUUUGAAACUGGCAAGCUAGAGUCUUGUAGAGGGGGGUAGAAUUCCAGGUGUAGCGGUGAAAUGCGUAGAGAUCUGGAGGAAUACCGGUGGCGAAGGCGGCCCCCUGGACAAAGACUGACGCUCAGGUGCGAAAAGCGUGGGGGAGCAA
rnacentral:rRNA from 1 species